rnacentral:lncRNA from 1 species
UCCUCCCAGCCUGCCUCAGAUCAUGGCCCUGAAAGAGAAGACAUCCUGUUUUUCCAACUCAAGAGACACCACUGCAGGGGGAGCAGUAGCAGGCUUGGGGACGUUUUCCACUCAAGAAGCUGGCUAUGGGAAGAGCUUACCCUGUAUUUCAUGCAAUACAAAGGAAGAUGGCUGUUUGGGGUUGCCGUGUCUCUUAGCAAUUAAGGAGAUGGCUACAGCCAAGCAGUGUGAAGUGACAGCACCAGAAAGUUUUCUACACCAGAGGCUGAGAACAGGGGCUGUGCAGUCAUAUUCAAUAUUGAGUCCCCAACCCUAACCCGGACCUGGCACAUACAAGACAUUCAGCAGAUGGCUAUUGAAUGAAAAUAUAUAAAUGAAUCAACGAUUACCAGCUGCCUCCACUCCCUUAACCUGCUACAGAAUUAAUAAACUAAUCUUGAGCAUA